UACGUAGGAUCCAAGCGUUAUCCGGAAUUACUGGGCGUAAAGAGUUGCGUAGGUGGCUCGUUAAGUGGAGCGUGAAAGCGUGCGGCUCAACCGCAUUAUUGCGUUCUAAACUAACAGGCUUGAGUAUGAGAGAGGUAGAUGGAAUUUCUAGUGUAGGAGUGAAAUCCGUAGAUAUUAGAAGGAACACCGAUGGCGUAGGCAGUCUACUGGCUCAUUACUGACACUAAGGCACGAAAGCGUGGGUAGCAAACGGG
rnacentral:rRNA from 1 species